rnacentral:rRNA from 1 species
GACGUAGGAGGCGAGCGUUGUCCGGAUUCAUUGGGCGUAAAGAGCACGCAGGCGGUUUGGCAAGUCGGAUGUGAAAACCCGGAGCUCAACUCCGGACCUGCAUCCGAAACUGCCCGACUAGAGGUAGGUAGGGGAGAUCGGAAUUCCUGGUGUAGCGGUGAAAUGCGCAGAUAUCAGGAGGAACACCGAUGGCGAAGGCAGAUCUCUGGGCCGUAACUGACGCUGAGGAGCGAAAGCAUGGGGAGCGAACAGG